rnacentral:rRNA from 1 species
UAGGGAGCGUAGAGAAUCGAGUCCGAACAGGGCGUUCAGUCGCUGGGGUGUAAGACCCGAAACCAAGUGAUCUAUCCAUGGCCAGGAUGAAGGUGCCGUAACAGGUACUGGAGGUCCGAACCGACUGGUGUUGCAAAACCAGCGGAUGAGCUGUGGAUAGGGGUGAAAGGCUAAACAAACUUGGAAAUAGCUGGUUCUCUCCGAAAACUAUUUAGGUAGUGCCUCAAGUAUUACCUGCGGGGGUAGAGCACUGUUUUGGCUAGGGGGUCAUGGCGACUUACCAAACCAAGGCAAACUCCGAAUACUGCAGAGUACAGCUUGGGAGACAGAGCACCGGGUGCUAACGUCCGGACUCAAGAGGGAAACAACCCAGACCGCCAGCUAAGGUCCCUAAAAUUGGCUAAGUGGGAAACGAAGUGGGAAGGCUAAAACAGUCAGGAUGUUGGCUUAGAAGCAGCCAUCAUUUAAAGAAAGCGUAAUAGCUCACUGAUCGAGUCGUCCUGCGCGGAAGAUGUAACGGGGCU